UCCCUGGAGGUCCAGUGGUUAAGACUCUGCACUUCAAAUGCAGGGGGUGCGGGUUCAAUCCCUGGUCAGGGAA
rnacentral:tRNA from 1 species